rnacentral:rRNA from 1 species
AACGGACGCUGGCGGCAUGCCUAACACAUGCAAGUCGAACGAGACCUUCGGGUCUAGUGGCGCACGGGUGCGUAACGCGUGGGAACCUGCCCUUAGGUUCGGAAUAACUCCCCGAAAGGGGUGCUAAUACCGGAUAAUGUCUUCGGACCAAAGAUUUAUCGCCUUUGGAUGGGCCCGCGUUGGAUUAGCUAGUUGGUAGGGUAAAAGCCUACCAAGGCGACGAUCCAUAGCUGGUCUGAGAGGAUGAUCAGCCACACUGGGACUGAGACACGGCCCAGACUCCUACGGGAAGCAGCAGUGGGGAAUAUUGGACAAUGGGCGAAAGCCUGAUCCAGCAAUGCCGCGUGAGUGAUGAAGGCCUUAGGGUUGUAAAGCUCUUUUACCCGGGAUGAUAAUGACAGUACCGGGAGAAUAAGCUCCGGCUAACUCCGUG